GCCCCAGUAACGGCGAGUGAAGCGGCAACAGCUCAAAUUUGAAAUCUGGCCCCCUCGGGGUCCGAGUUGUAAUUUGCAGAGGGUGCUUUCGGCGUCGGCCGUGGUCUAAGUUCCUUGGAACAGGACGUCACAGAGGGUGAGAAUCCCGUACGUGGCCGCCGGCCUUCGCCUUGUAAAGCCCCUUCGACGAGUCGAGUUGUUUGGGAAUGCAGCUCUAAAUGGGAGGUAAAUUUCUUCUAAAGCUAAAUACCCGCCAGAGACCGAUAGCGCACAAGUAGAGUGAUCGAAAGAUGAAAAGCACUUUGGAAAGAGAGUGAAAAAGCACGUGAAAUUGUUGAAAGGGAAGCGCUUGCGGCCAGACGUGCCCGCGGUGGUUCAGCCGGGCUCCCGCCCGGUGCACUCCUCCGCGGGCAGGCCAGCAUCAGUUCGGGCGGCCGGACAAAGGCCUCCAUCACGUACCACCCCUCGGGGUGGCCUUAUAGGGGAGGCGCAACACGGCCAGCCGGGACUGAGGAUCCGCGCAUCACGCUAGGAUGCUGGCGUAAUGGCAGCAAGCGGCCCGUCUUGAAACACGGACCAAGGAGUCUAACAUCUAUGCGAGUGUUUGGGUGGCAAGCCCGAGCGCGCAAUGAAAGUGAACGGAGGUGGGAACCCCUCGGGGCGCACCAUCGACCGAUCCUGAUGUCUUCGGAUGGAUUUGAGUAAGAGCAUAGCUGUUGGGACCCGAAAGAUGGUGAACUAUGCCUGAAUAGGGUGAAGCCAGAGGAAACUCUGGU
rnacentral:rRNA from 1 species